rnacentral:rRNA from 1 species
GUAGGGGGCAAGCGUUGUCCGGAAUCACUGGGCGUAAAGGGCGCGUAGGUGGCUCGUUAAGUGGUCGGUGAAAUCCCGGGGCUCAACUCCGGGGCUGCCGGUCAGACUGGCGGGCUAGAGCACGGUAGGGGCAGAUGGAAUUCCCGGUGUAGCGGUGGAAUGCGUAGAUAUCGGGAAGAACACCAGUGGCGAAGGCGUUCUGCUGGGCCGUUGCUGACACUGAGGCGCGACAGCGUGGGGAGCAAACAGGAUUAGAUACCCUGGUAGUCCACGCCGUAAACGAUGGGCACUAGGCGUCGGGGGGAGCGACCCUCCCGGUGCCGUCGCUAACGCAGCAAGUGCCCCGCCUGGGGAGUACGGCCGCAAGGCUG